AGAACAUUCGGACCGUCGGUCUACCGAGCAAUACCAAACGCUCGGUGGAAGAGCUUCCCUUUGUGAA
rnacentral:pre_miRNA from 1 species